AGUGAACGCUGGCGGUAGGCCUAACACAUGCAAGUCGAACGGCAGCACAGUAAGAGCUUGCUCUUACGGGUGGCGAGUGGCGGACGGGUGAGGAAUAUAUCGUAAUCUACUUUUUCGUGGGAGUUCACGUAGGGAAACUUACUCUCAUACCGCAUACGCUCUACCAGUGAAAGCAGGGGAUCUUCGGACCUUGUGCGAAUGAAUUAGCGGCUGUCGGGUUGGCUAGUUGGCGGGGUAAAGGCCCACCAAGGCGCCGAUCCGGAGCCGGUCUGAGAGGAUGAUCAGCCAGACUGGGACGGAGACACGGUACAGAGGCCUACGGGAGGCAGCAGGGGGGAAUAUGGGACAAGGGGCGGAAAACUGUGCCAGCCAGACCGCGUGGGUGAGGAAGGCCUUCGGGUGGUAAAGCCCUUUUGUUGGGAAAGAAAAGCAGCAGGUUAAUACCGCGGUGUGCUGACGGUAAACAGAGAAUAAGCAACGGCUAACUUCGUG
rnacentral:rRNA from 1 species